UCAAACAGGCCCGAAUGUUCCGAUUCUCUCAUUUCUUCAUUUCUUCUCUCUUCAGUUUGUGAACUCCAGAACGAUGUUCUUAGCCCAAAUACUUGAUUUUAAUCCCAAGACCUUUUAGGAAAGACAUAUCUCACUGAUCAAUGAUAGUUAUUACCAAGAAGAAUCCCCCAAUCUUUGAUUUUAUUGAGGUCUUUGUAAUUUUCCUUUUUCUCCAUAUUUCUUGUCACACCACAACAUUCUUGACUCGUUUCCAUAUGGAAUUGGAACCCGCAGGCCGAAGUUCCAAACCCAUCAUCAAGUCUCAGUUCUUGAUCGGUUCUUGAGGCACGAACCAGAGCAUGGAACGAACGAGUCCUUGAUCGCCUAUCUCAAAACCUAACUCACCACAGGCCAUGGUUGCUCGGGGGACCUUGGAGCUGAACUUCCAAUAGAGGAAGUUCCUUUAUUGCAGGUGAUCUGAUGCUCCGAGUAGCAUGACAUGAGGGCCAUUUUUGAAAGAUGUGGACAUCAUUAGAAGAUGUCACAACAUGCAAAAGCCAGUUAUUGUGGCAACAAAUAAGCUUGAAAGCAUGAUUAAUCAUCCCACACCAAGAAGGGCAGAAGUUUCAGACAUUGCAAAUGCAGGAAGACAAGGUGCUGAUAGUGUCAUGCUUUCAGGAGAAAUUGCACAUGGAAAUCCUUGCUGCCCAGGAUGAAGUAUCCUCACGUGGCCGUUGGAGCUUUAGCAUCCUCUGCUCGGAUCCUCCAUUCUUAUGGAUUUGGCUUCGCCAUAUGUCUUCAAUAACAUCAUCACAAAAGAUUUCAAGGAGGGGAGAUUAAUGCAUUUUACAAAAUAGAGGGAGAUCGGUGCAAGCGAAGUGAGUGCAACUUUUCCAUACUUGUAUAGUACCUAAUAAUACUAGUAAUGACACUAAUGUUUUUUUUUGGUCAAGACACAAUUAUUAACUAUCAACUUAUAGAUACCAAUAUUUUACUAUAUAAUAGCAUUCUCAAGAAUGAAAUUUAGUCAGUAUGAUAUUAAC